rnacentral:rRNA from 1 species
UGCAAGUCGAGCGGAGACAGUGAGUAGCUUGCUAUGAGCUGUUUUAGCGGCGGACGGGUGAGUAACGCGUGAGCAACCUUUCCCAGACAGGGGAAUAACACACCGAAAGGUGUACUAAUACCGCAUAAGACCACGGGAUCACAUGGCUCUGAGGUAAAAGAUUUAUCGGUUUGGGGUGGGCUCGCGUCCGACUAGGUAGUUGGUGAGGUAACGGCCCACCAAGCCGACGAUCGGUAGCCGACCUGAGAGGGUGAUCGGCCACAUUGGGACUGAGACACGGCCCAAACUCCUACGGGAGGCAGCAGUGGGGAAUAUUGGGCAAUGGAGGAAACUCUGACCCAGCAACGCCGCGUGGAGGAAGAAGGUUUUCGGAUCGUAAACUCCUGUCCUUGGAGACGAGUAGAAGACGGUAUCCAAGGAGGAAGCCCCGGCUAACUACGUGCCAGCAGCCGCGGUAAUACGUAGGGGGCAAGCGUUGUCCGGAAUAAUUGGGCGUAAAGGGCGCGUAGGCGGCUCGGUAAGUCUGGAGUGAAAGUCCUGCUUUUAAGGUGGGAAUUGCUUUGGAUACUGUCGGGCUUGAGUGCAGGAGAGGUUAGUGGAAUUCCCAGUGUAGCGGUGAAAUGCGUAGAGAUUGGGAGGAACACCAGUGGCGAAGGCGACUAACUGGACUGUAACUGACGCUGAGGCGCGAAAGUGUGGGGAGCAAACAGGAUUAGAUACC